UAAGGAAUAUUGGUCAAUGGACGCAAGUCUGAACCAGCCAUGCCGCGUGAAGGAUGAAGGUCCUCUGGAUUGUAAACUUCUUUUAUCUGGGACGAAAACGGGAUUUUUAUCUCAAUUGACGGUACCAGAGGAAUAAGCACCGGCUAACUCCGUGCCAGCAGCCGCGGUAAUACGGAGGGUGCGAGCGUUAUCCGGAUUUACUGGGUUUAAAGGGUGCGUAGGUGGGCUUAUAAGUCAGUGGUGAAAUCUCCGAGCUUAACUUGGAAACUGCCGUUGAUACUAUAGGUCUUGAAUUAUCUGGAGGUAAGCGGAAUAUGUCAUGUAGCGGUGAAAUGCUUAGAUAUGACAUAGAACACCGAUUGCGAAGGCAGCUUACUACAUAUAAAUUGACGCUGAGGCACGAAAGCGUGGGGAUCAAACA
rnacentral:rRNA from 1 species